rnacentral:rRNA from 1 species
CCCAUGGGGAUACCUUAGUACGGCGAGUGAAGCGGUAAAAGCUCAAAUUUGAAAUCUGGUACUUUCAGUGCCCGAGUUGUAAUUUGUAGAAUUUGUCUUUGAUUAGGUCCUUGUCUAUGUUCCUUGGAACAGGACGUCAUAGAGGGUGAGAAUCCCGUUUGGCGAGGAUACCUUUUCUUUGUAAGACUUUUUCGAAGAGUCGAGUUGUUUGGGAAUGCAGCUCAAAGUGGGUGGUAAAUUCCAUCUAAAGCUAAAUAUUGGCGAGAGACCGAUAGCGAACAAGUACAGUGAUGGAAAGAUGAAAAGAACUUUGAAAAGAGAGUGAAAAAGUACGUGAAAUUGUUGAAAGGGAAGGGCAUUUGAUCAGACAUGGUGUUUUUUGCAUGCACUCGCCUCUCGUGGGCUUGGGCCUCUCAAAAAUUUCACUGGGCCAACAUCAAUUCUGGCAGCAGGAUAAAUCAUUAAGAAUGUAGCUACUUCGGUAGUGUUAUAGCUUUUUGGAAUACUGUUAGCCGGGAUUGAGGACUGCGCUUCGGCAAGGAUGUUGGCAUAAUGGUUAAAUGCCGCCCGUCUUGAACCCACGGACCA